ensembl:lncRNA
UUUUUUUUUUUGGCUUUUUGCUAUUUCCUGGGCCACUCCCGAGGCAUAUGGAGGUUCCCAGGCUAGGGGUCCAAUCGGAGCUAUAGCCACCGGCCUAUACCAGAGUCACAGCAACGCAGGAUCCGAGCCGAGUCUGCAACCUACACCACAGCUCACAGCAACGCCGGAUUGUUAACCCACUGAGCAAGGGCAGGGACUGAACCCGCAACCUCAUGGUUCCUAGUCGGAUUCGUUAACCACUGCGCCACGACGGGAACUCCCUGUAAAUCUUAAAUUAUGCAAAAUUAAAAAUAUUUUUUAAAGGAUAAGACAGGGAACAGUUCAAGGUCACAGAGCCACAAGCUGGGGUGAGAGGGCAAUGACCCUACACACCAUCCAGAGGAAGGACAAAGGUUUGGGGUCAACUGGCCAAGAUAAGAAGCAUCAUGAUCUCACCCACUCACUACUGGAUGUGUCCAUGAUCCCUUCAGCUUCUUUCCUGUAAUCACCUUGAUGUCCAGGGCUCCCCUGGAGUCAGUCCUCAGGGGAGGAAAAAGCCCUAAAUACGAGGCCAUGUUAGGCAGAUCCUGCCUUGGCUGUCUUGGGCUUUGGAAAGGGCAUUGACUAGAAAUAAUAAAACCUUGGAACCGUCGAUAUCAGAGCUAGGAAACCAGGAGACAAGAUGAGCUGAUUUAAAAGGGAAAGGCAUUCCCUCAUGGUCUAGUGGUUAAGGAUUCGGCAUUGUCACCACUGUGGUUCGAGUUCAAUCCCUGGUCUGGGAACGUCUGUAUACCGUAGGCGAAGACAAAGAAAAGAUGGAAAGAAAAUGGAGAAUGGCACCGUUUGUCUCAUACGUGACCCCAACACAGGGCUAGGCCCCAUGACCUCAACCACGUUCGGCUGGCCAUUCCAGCUACCAUCAAGAUCAACUCUGGAAGAACUGGACUAACCUUGACUAACUUUCUGGUUUUCUUUUUUCCAAGUUAAAAAAGUAAAAGAUAUUUGUGAUUUUUAAAAUUUUGUCUUAAAGUUCCUUCUGUAAGUACAGCAGGUUAAAGAUCCAACAUGGCUGCAGCUGCAGCGUAGGGUACAGCAGCAGCUCAGAUUCAAUCCUUGUGGGUUAAAGGAUCCAUUGCCACAGCUGUAGUGUAGUAUCUGAUCCCUGGCCUGGAAACUCCAUAUGCUGUGGGGCAACCAAACAAAACAAACAAAAUACACACCUACCUCUGAAAUGAGGAAAGAAACAAAGUGAACAUUUCUCUGUCUUCUUAGCUGCAGAGUCAUGUUUCUGUCUUUGGAAAAACAACUUCUCUUCCUCUUAGAGAAACACUUCAUUGUAUCCCAAAGUACCCUGGUGAAUGGAGAGCAAUGCUGCUCUUGGGUCAGCACCACCUGUCUUUAUGUAUUCAGCAGGUGUCUGGAUGGGAGGCUGGGGCCCCUCAGAAUGUGUGCUCCAAGACAGACUUCUUGCCAUUUUCAUGAAUUGCUUAGAGAGGCUCGACUACCAGUUCUCAGAAGCUUUCACCUUGGCUGGGUGCCUGACCCACAUGUGUAAACACACCCUGCAGAGCCAUGAAUGGCUUUCAUCUUUCUCAUUGGUAGAGUAAUGGAGUCAGAUCAGAUCAGGGACCUUCACAGGGGUGGGAGGUAGUGGGUGAAAGAGUUCUGAGACUUGGGGAACACCUUUAGACAC